CCUUGCUAGAAGUGCAAAAUCUCAGGCCCUACACCUAAACGGCUGAAUUGGAAUUUGUAUUUUGACAAGAUCUGGCAUCUCCAAUACUCGCUAAAGUUUGAAAUGCUCUGCUAGAUGAUGCAUUAUCUUAUCUGCCACCUCCUUAUAUCCCUCAAGCAUCCCUUUCUUACCUGUGUUUUCAAUUUCUAUUUUUUGUUUUGUAUUGUUUACCCUCACAAAGAAGGCACUGUUUUCACGCACCCCACGUCAUUUCUCUUUUCUCAACCAAGUGCCUUGAAGGAGCAGUCUGUACUCCCUGAAUCGACAUCUUUCUUGUUCAUGUCUCAACCUGCUGCAGUAUAAUCACCCACCAAACACCAUCUGGCCCUCUACUGUACGCCAAACACUGUACCGGACUCCGAGGAUAAACUGGUUGUGCAAGAGACACAGCUUUUGUCUUCAAAUGACUGUUUCUGAAAUUGCUUUGACAUAGAUAACCAACUGACUCUCUAAAUGACCAAUUUCUUUUCCUUCAUUAUCAGGCUUCUUUUUUCCCAAUGCAAAAUAACUUAAAGCACACCAGAAGAGUGAAUGGUUGGUUGGUGGCCUACCUUGCUCAGCACAAAACUGUAAGAUACAAGGAAAGGCCAUGUGAGGACACAGUGAGAAAGCACCCAUCUACAAGCCGGGAAGAGAGGCUCACCAGAGACCAACCCUGAUGGCACCAUGAUAUUGACUUCUAGCCUCCAUAACUGUCUAUAUGUAGAAAAGAAGUGGCAAUUUAUCAACAUUUGUGGACAUUUACGGUUAUGUUACAUGAAGUACCGAUCUUUUUUAACAGACAUAAUAAAAUCUAUAAUGGCUCAAACUACAGUUUCAAGACAAACACCCCAAAAGUAUGUACAAUCCCACAAGACUUUGUCCAUAAAUGAGAUCGAGACAGAAAGAAGGUACCGACGUCAUAGUUCUCUAGGUAUCUGGCUCGUUCUUCAGGGCUCAUUGACACAGACUCCUCCAAGAAUUUUUUCAAGGUUGAUCCAGAUUCUGAGAAGAUUAAAGAAGAUAAAAUUGAGCCGGUUUGUUAUCUGAAAGACACUGAUAUGUGAAAAUACUCGGAGGCAUGCUCUUCUUUCAGAUAAAAACCCUUUCACUGCUAAGUUGGGACUAGAAAAUGUUAAACCUCUGUUUAUCAACAUUAUAAAAGAAUGGGAAAGAUUACUAUUUCUUCUAACAGUAUAUACAGUCCCAUGGAGUGGGGGGAGAAGAAGAAAGGAAAAUUCUUUAUUUGAUACUUUAAAAGAAAGAAUGACAGCACCACCUACUGCUCAAUAAGUUAACUCAUAA